CCUUCCUCCUCUGCCUCCACCCGAGCAGCUGCAGGGGAAGAGGGCAGUGCUGGGUGCCUCAUGCAUAUGCAGACAGAUCCUCCUCCUCCUUCCACCUUCUCGCGUCCGCUCCGGCAGCCUUUUCCCUUCCCCCCACCCGUCCUCUGCCGCAGCCACCGCCUCCGGUUUCCCUGGCGCGUCCGCGCGCCUCGACGUGCGGUUCCCCGAGCUCGGGUCCAGGGCAGCUAUUUCCCAGAAGGAGGCCUACUAAUGCUCUAGGAGCAGGCGCGAGAAAGGGAGGAAGGCACUAUCCUUGAAAUCCUCUCGAAGGUCAAGUUUGAGGUUUGCUGUACAGAAGCGAAAGGCGUCGAAAAUGCUGCUACAGGGUCUGAGGGAAGGUUCUGCACGCAGACUGAUUUUGUCAUGGCUUUCUCCCCCUUAAACACCAGAUUAAUUUCUCUGAAACACACAGUGUACUGGCCACGUCCAGAGGCAGGAUGACGAUAGAUAGUUUUGUAUGCCCAGAACUAUGGUGUGUAUUUGUCUUCUACAUCAAGGCUACAAUAGUUCCUUAAGCUAUAAAGCAUUGGGGAGGAGAUCAGACAGCUUGAGAUCUACUGAGAGAGAGAAGUGCCGACAUGUGGUCAGGGGAGAGUGGUGCGCAAGAUCUGUUAAAGGUGGGCAGUUAAAUGUCAGCCCCUCCAACUUACAGACAAUAGUAAAAGGUACACAAGCUUUGAAUACUGCUCUGAACUGCCCUUGA
ensembl:lincRNA